UACGAAGGGGGCUAGCGUUGCUCGGAAUCACUGGGCGUAAAGGGUGCGUAGGCGGGUCUUUAAGUCAGGGGUGAAAUCCUGGAGCUCAACUCCAGAACUGCCUUUGAUACAGCACGUCUUGAGUCCGGAAGAGGUGGGUGGAAUUCCUAGUGUAGAGGUGAAAUUCGUAGAUAUUCGCAAGAACACCAGUGGCGAAGGCGGCUCACUGGCCCGGUACUGACGCUGAGGUGCGAAAGCGUGGGGAGCAAACAGGG
rnacentral:rRNA from 1 species